GAAGAUGGAGUUGCUAGUAAUCGCGAAUCAGAAUGUCGCGGUGAAUACGUUCCCGGGUCUUGUACACACCGCCCGUCACACCAUGAGAGUUGGCAACACCCGAAACCUGUGGGCUAACCGAAAAGGAGGCAGCAGUCUAAGGUGGGGUCAGUGAUUGGGGUGAAGUCGUAACAAGGUACC
rnacentral:rRNA from 1 species